CCUACGUGGUGCAGCAGUGGGGAAUAUUGGACAAUGGGCGAAAGCCCGAUCCAGCCAUGCCGCGUGUGUGAAGAAGGCCUUCGGGUUGUAAAGCACUUUCAGUGGGGAAGAAAGCCUUGGGGCUAAUACCCUCGAGGAAGGACAUCACCCACAGAAGAAGCACCGGCUAACUCCGUGCCAGCAGCCGCGGUAAUACGGAGGGUGCGAGCGUUAAUCGGAAUUACUGGGCGUAAAGCGCGCGUAGGCGGUCUGAUAAGCCGGUUGUGAAAGCCCCGGGCUCAACCUGGGAACGGCAUCCGGGGGUGUCGGGGAGGAGUGCAGAGUAGGCAGGAGGAAUACCCGGGGCAGCGGCGAGAUGGGGAGAUGUCGUGAGGGAUGAGGGGGGAGAGGGCGGCCAGCAGGACUGAAAAUAUAGCUGGGUUGCGAAAGCGCGAGUAGCAAACAGGACCCGAGACCCUGUUAGUC
rnacentral:rRNA from 1 species